rnacentral:rRNA from 1 species
GAUGAACGCUGGCGGCGUGCCUAAUACAUGCAAGUCGAGCGAACAGACGAGGAGCUUGCUCCUCUGACGUUAGCGGCGGACGGGUGAGUAACACGUGGAUAACCUACCUAUAAGACUGGGAUAACUUCGGGAAACCGGAGCUAAUACCGGAUAAUAUAUUGAACCGCAUGGUUCAAUAGUGAAAGACGGUUUUGCUGUCACUUAUAGAUGGAUCCGCGCCGCAUUAGCUAGUUGGUAAGGUAACGGCUUACCAAGGCAACGAUGCGUAGCCGACCUGAGAGGGUGACGGGCCACCCGGAAGCUGAGACCCGGCCCACACCCCUAGGGGAGGCACCGGUGGGGACUCUCCCGCAAGGGGCGAAAGCCUGAGGGGGAAACGCCGCGUGAGUAAUAAAGGUCUGCGGUUCGAAAAACUUUUUUUUUGGGGAAAAAAAAAUGGUAAGGUAACUAUGCCCGUUUGGAGGUUCCCUAACAAGAAGCCCCGGCCUACCUCGUU